rnacentral:rRNA from 1 species
UACGUAGGUGGCAAGCGUUGUCCGGAAUCACUGGGCGUAAAGCGCGCGCAGGCGGCCGUUUAAGUCUGGGGUGAAAGCCCGAAGCUCAACUUCGGGACUGCCUUGGAUACUGGAUGGCUUGAGCAUUGGAGAGGCAAGGGGAAUUCCACGUGUAGCGGUGAAAUGCGUAGAUAUGUGGAGGAACACCAGUGGCGAAGACGCCUUGCUGGCCAAUUGCUGACGCUGAGGCGCGAAAGUGUGGGGAGCAAACAGG